rnacentral:rRNA from 1 species
CCCUUAGAUGUCCGGGGCCGCACGCGCGCUACACUGAAGGAAUCAACGUGGCUUUCUCCCUGACCCGAAAGGGUUGGGAAACCCGUUGAAUCUCCUUCGUGAUAGGGAUUGGGGCUUGAAAUUGUUCCCCAUGAACGAGGAAUUCCCAGUAAGCGCGAGUCAUAAGCUCGCGUUGAUUACGUCCCUGCCCUUCGUACACACCGCCCGUCGCUACUACCGAUUGAACGGUUUAGUGAGGGCCUCGGAUUGGUCUCGGCCCGCUCUUUACCGGGCGGCGCCGUUGGUCGAGAAGACGCUCGAACUUGAUCGUUUAGAGGAAGUAAAAGUCGUAACA